rnacentral:rRNA from 1 species
UAUUGGGAGUUUGAUCCUGGCUCAGGACGAACGCUGGCGGCGUGCUUAACACAUGCAAGUCGAACGAUGAUGCCCAGCUUGCUGGGUUGAUUAGUGGCGAACGGGUGAGUAACACGUGAGUAACCUGCCCAUCACUCUGGGAUAACUCCGGGAAACCGGUGCUAAUACCGGGUAUGACUCCGAUCCGCAUGGGUACGGGGUGGAAAGAUUUAUCGGUGGUGGAUGGACUCGCGGCCUAUCAGCUUGUUGGUGGGGUAAUGGCCUACCAAGGCGACGACGGGUAGCCGGCCUGAGAGGGUGACCGGCCACACUGGGACUGAGACACGGCCCAGACUCCUACGGGAGGCAGCAGUGGGGAAUAUUGCACAAUGGGCGGAAGCCUGAUGCAGCGACGCCGCGUGCGGGAUGACGGCCUUCGGGUUGUAAACCGCUUUCAGCUCUGACGAAGCUUUUGUGACGGUAGGAGCAGAAGAAGCACCGGCUAACUACGUGCCAGCAGCCGCGGUAAUACGUAGGGUGCGAGCGUUGUCCGGAAUUAUUGGGCGUAAAGAGCUUGUAGGCGGCUUGUCGCGUCUGCUGUGAAAGCCCGGGGCUUAACCCCGGGUCUGCAGUGGGUACGGGCAGGCUAGAGUGUGGUAGGGGAGACUGGAAUUCCUGGUGUAGCGGUGGAAUGCGCAGAUAUCAGGAGGAACACCGAUGGCGAAGGCAGGUCUCUGGGCCAUUACUGACGCUGAGAAGCGAAAGCGUGGGGAGCGAACAGGAUUAGAUACCCUGGUAGUCCACGCCGUAAACGUUGGGCGCUAGGUGUGGGUCCCAUUCCACGGGGUCCGUGCCGCAGCUAACGCAUUAAGCGCCCCGCCUGGGGAGUACGGCCGCAAGGCUAAAACUCCAAGGAAUUGACGGGGGCCCGCACAAGCGGCGGAGCAUGCCGGAUUAAUUCGAUGCAACGCCGAAGAACCUUACCAAGGCUUGACAUGUACCCGGAAACCCUCCGAAGACCGGGGGCCCCCGCAAGGCUGGGAACACAGGGGGGUGCAUGGGUUGUCCUCACGUUCCGUGUCCGGGAAAAUGUUGGGGUUAAAGUCCCCGCAACGAAGCGCAACCCUCGUUCCAAUGUUGCCCCCCGGUUCCGGCCCGGGGAACUCUUAAGGAAAACUGGCCGGGGGUCCACUCCGAAGGGAAGGGGGGGGGAUGACCUCCAAUCACCCCUGGCCCUCUUAACUUUUUGGGGGCUUCACCCCAUGGGCUAAACAUGGGGCCCGGGAAACAAAGGGGUUUCGCCAAACCCCGCCGAGGGGGAGGACACAAAUCCCCUUUUAAAAGCGGGGCUUCCCAUUUUCGGGAAUGGGGGGGGCUCCGAACCUCCCCCCUCCUAGGAAAAGGGGGGGGGAUCCCUUAGUUAAUCUCCCGAAAAAAAAAACCCCCGCUCGCGUGGGGGGAAAAAAUC